CUGCCCGCCUCCGCCCGGCCGGCGCGGGGCCCUGCGCACUACAACUCCCGCCAGGCCCGGCAGGAGGAAGCGGCCGGCGGGCGGCUGCCGAGGUGCGGAGCCUGUCGCCCAGCGCCAGGGCUGCCCCCCGCCGCGCCCUCCAGGGCGGUCUCCUCACCCCCGGCUGCAAGGUGCCAGCCCCCGCCUCCCAGCCGGGAUCCCAGCCAGGGCCGCUGGAGGGCGGCGGGGGGGUAAUUGCACCGGUCCGUCCCCCCCCAAACGCCUGUGCGGUCUGUGUAAAUCCAGUGACAGGGGCGGGCCCCAGAGAGCACGGUGGGCUGGGCCCCCAGUUUCUCUCAUCAGGCCCCAGAGUCACCUGUUCCAGUAGCCUAGGGGUUGCCGGCGUUUGGUUUGGGGCGGGGGGGUCCCCCGGAAAAGAGCCAUGGGGGGGGUGUCAUUGCUUCACCGGGCGACGACGUGGUGAGGCGGGACGUGAGGAUGCUGCAAAGCCAAACAGGGAGGAGGAGGCCGCCACGCUUAGGGUCUCGAGUGUCAAGUUGCCCAGGUGGUGGGGCCGGCGCCUGGCCUGUUGACUGCACCUCCUGGUGUGGUGUAGAGGUUACAUCCUGGCAAGGAAGUACCGCAUCUCACACUGAGAUUAUGAAGGGGAUAACAAAAAUAAAGGCAAAAUCCCUGUGUCAGGUGCGUACUUGGUUAGCGAGCUUAGCAAGAGUUCUUGACCCCAAGUAAAGCAUUGUUUUGCAGUACAAUGUGGUUAAUUUUCAAUUAAGCUCAAUGAAAUGCUUAUUUAGGCUCACAUGCAAUGCCACCUUAGUACAAGUGUCAACAAUUGUAAAUGACUAAGGAAACAAAGCCAUUCCAGCAUGUGGUGGCUAGCCGCCUGGUUCUGCCCUCCGACUGAAGUGCAUUCAGGGAAGAAAUGGAGACUGAGGCAAAGGUCAGGUUCAGUCUGAGACCUGGGUGAAGAUCAAGGCUGAUUCAGACCUCUGGGAAGCAUGGCUGAGUGGUUAAAGCACAAGGUGUAGUCAGGAUCUGGGUUCACUGUGAAACCUUGAGUGGGUAAGUAACCUCACUCCUGUUUUUCAUGUUUUUCUCCUCUGUAACAAAGGGCUCAUGGCAUUUACCUACUUCACAGGGCUCUUAGAAUAGAGGGCAUUCUAUACAUCAUCAUCAUCACUCUCAUAACCAUAUUGGUAGUUGGGGCACCAUAACUGAUGAGCAAUCAACUAAAUGUUACCACCCCUGAUGAUUGUAUGUCAGUGCUUGAGUCUCCGCAAAGUCCAUUCCUGUCCACUCUUUUAUGUUAUCAAUCCAUCUUUUCUUCUGUCUACCUCUUCUUCUCUUCCCCUGUAUUGUCCCUUGGAGGAUGAUCUUGGAUAGGCCAGAUGAUCUUGUUACAUGGUCACUUGUCACUUCAGCUUGCACUUCUUCACAGUCAUCAGUGGGUCUUCAUAUGACCCAGCGCAUUGGGUGAAGAUGUUACGGACCUAUUCAUUAGUGAUGUGGUUGAAGUAGGAGGUGCCCAGGAUUUUACGGAAGUAUCUCAACUCUACUACCUGUAUUUUCCGUUCAAGUUCUGCCGUAAGGGUCCAUGUCUCGCACACAUACAAAAAAAUGGAGAUGACUAGUACGUGCAGCAGUUUCCAUUUGGAUUUGAGGGAGAUAUUCUUCUUCCUCCAAAUUGGCUUUAGCUUUGCCACUGUUGCUGUUGUUUGUGCAGUUCUUGCCAGAAUUUCUGCCUUUGAUCCUUCAUCAGUGAUGAUUGCCCCCAAAUAGUUGAACUGUUUCACUGUCUCCAACUCUUGUCCACUGACAGUGAUAUGUGAGCUGAUCCCGUCAUGUUUAUUUGUCAUCAGCUUGGUUUUCUCUGCACUUAUUUCCAAGCCAUAUUUUGCAGAUGUUUCAUCCAGUCAUUUCACAAGGUUGGCAAGUUCAUCUUCGCUACCUGCCAGACCAUCAAUGUCAUCAGCAAACCGAAGAUUUGAGAUUGUUCGCCCCCCCCCCGCCCAGUGCUGACUGUGCAUAUGUGAUCUUCUAGGGCAUUAGUCAUUAUUCAUGCCAAAUAGGUCCAUGUUGAACAGUGUGGGCAAAAGAAGGCAGCCUUGCUGGACUCCAACAGUGGUGCGAAACCAUUCUCCUGUUGUGACAUUGACGAGAACUGCACUGCUGGUCUUCGCAUACGGUUGUUCAAUGGUAAAAAUAAGUUUAUGACCAACAUUGUACUUCUUCAUGGUUUCCCAGAGAGCUUCAUGCCAUACUCUGUCAAACACCUUCCUGAAGUCAACAAAGACGUGGUAGAUGUCCUGCUGGUGUUAUAAGUACUUCUCACAUUGAACACGAAGGUUGAAAAUCUGUUCUGUGGUAUUUUUUCCAGCAUGAAAGCCAGCCUGUUCUUCAGUGAUGAUAUUCUCUGCUUGUGGCUUCAGUCUGUUCAAUAUGACUUUCAAUAUCACUUUGCUGGAAUGGCUAAUUAAGCACAUGGUCCGAUAAUUUUGACACAAUUCAGGUUGCCUUUCUUUGAUGAUUAGUGACUGUGUCCUCGUGGAGGGCCACUCACUGGUUUGCCAGAUCUUGUUGCAGAUCUUGGUGAGUACAUUUAUUACUGUUUCUCCUCCGAAUUUAAUCAGUUCGGCUGGGAAGUUGUCAAUACCUGUAGCCUUUCCGUUCUUGAGUGAUUUCACAGCUGUCUCCACUUCUUCACACAGUAUUGGAAAGUCAUCCUCCUCUGUUGAAUCUGGGCUGUCUAAGACACUAGACACUGUCUAGGACCUCCAUUUGUCUGGUGGUUGUAUAGAUCCGAGCAGUAGUUUGUUCACCUGUUGAUCAUGUCCCUUUCUUCUGUAACACUCUUCCCUUCUUUGUCUUGAAUUGCAUUAGCUUUGGUCCGUCUUUCCUUCAUCAGAUCUUUUACAAUCUGGAAGGCUCAUUUGCUGUUUUUAUUAUUGAUACAUUUCAAUUUUAGAGCAUUGUUUUUGAUCCAUAUCUCCUUGGCCACCUUCAUUCCUUUCUUGAUCUUUCUGCCAUUCACUCUGUAUUUAUCAGCUCCCUCAGUGCUGUUCUUGUCUCUCCUGAGUUCUCUUCUAAUGUCACACAUUUGUAGUAUUUCAUUUGUGACCCAAGGUUUUGUCUUCUUAUGGUGUUUCCCAAGGAUGUCCAUUGCUGCCUCAUUCAUUACAGCGUUGAAAUUGUUGGUUAUUGUUGUUUCUCUGUCUUCCUCUAGAACAAGCAGCAGGGCAAAUUUUCCACCGAUCAUUGCUUGGAAUGACUCUGCAAUGCUUCGGUCUCUAAGUCUUUCUAUGUCAAACUUGGUUCUGGUGAACUUUGGCCUGACGAUUUUCCUUAGCCACAGCCAAAAGUUUAGCAUCACAAGGUCAUGAUCACUUCCAAUAUCAGCACCUGGGAAGCUCCUUGUUUUAGCUCUAUUGAUCCCAGAACUAAAUCAGUUUUGCACCAUGAUGUAGUCGAUCUGACUGUGAUGUAGACCAUUAAGUGCAUGCCACAUUGAUUGUCUGGAUGCUUUAUGUGCUCCUAGUGUCUUUGCAAUAACCAAAUUGUUAUAGCUGGCAAACUCCAAAAGUCUCAGUCCUCUCUCAUUGGUUACCGCAUUACAGAAAAGGCUACAAUAAUCUCACCAAUCUGCCUAUGCAUCAGUACCCACUUCAGCAUUCCAAUAUCCCUGUACAAUCAGGAUAUUUUUCUUGUGUCCCUUAUCAAUGAUGUCUUUGAGCUGAUUAUAAAAAUCUUCAAUUUGCUCAUCGUCGUAGUCUGUUGUAGGGGCGUAGACUUGUACCACUGUGAUAUUAAGCGGUGCUGCUUUUAGAUGGAUGGAAAGAAGCCUGCUGGAUAUUGGGCGGCAUCCUAAUACUGAAUUCUUGAUAUCUUUAUACAGAAGGAAUCCUAUGCUGUUGACAUGUUUGUCCUCUCCACUGUAAUAGAGUACAUGGCCUUCUUCCGUUAGUGCCUCUCCAAAGUUCUUCCAUAUGACCUCAGAGAUUCCUAGGAGGUGCCAGGUGUAUUGUUCCAUUUCGUAUGUGAGUUCUUUCAACCUCCCUAUUUGUCUCAAUGUCCUUACAUUCCAUGUAGCUAUGGUGAUGUUAUCUCUUCCACGGAUCCUCUUCGUUGGGGUUACACCACUAGUAUACUUGUCGCGUCUGCCCUGGUGGGACAUGGAUGGCGCGGUCAUUAUUAACCCGGGCUGCGACCAAUCCGGUAUAGACAUGGUUGACUUGCUCAUCAUACGGAGGGUCUUGGGAAAAUUUCUAACCUGGCGGAGCCCAUCCAUCUCCAGGCAGCCCCCUUUUAGUUGCCUCUUCUGAUAUGCAGGAGGAGCAGUGGGCCUAUUCUGUCCCUGGACCCACAGGGGGGUCCUGGAAUAGAAGGCAUUCUAUACAUACAAGAUGUUAUUAUUGAUCUCAGUUUUUUACAAGUAUUUGGGCCAUGGACCUCUUUGAUUCUGGGACUGACUGGGGUCCUGUUUAGCUCCUAGCGAUUAGUUAGAGCAGCUUCAGGGCUGUUCUCAGUGAUGCCCUGCAGUGGUCCCAAUGAGCUAUUCUGGCAGCUAGAAAUAGCCAGAAAAUGGAGACUCUGUGGCCACACCCCCUACACCAGGAGCUGCAAGGGGCAUUGGCGUAGAAGACACUACAUAGGCUCUGUGCCUACAAUUUUCAAAACUUUUUCACUUAGAAGCCCAAGAUCCCAUUGAUUUCCUAUGUUCUUCUGAACACUUGACCUAAGGCAGUUAGAGAUUCCCUUACACUGCUGACCAGUUCUACUGGGUUUGCAGCCCCUUUGAGAUUGAUGUUGUGGCCAUAACAGCAUGAAGAAUCCACCCUUUUGCUCAUUUAAGCCAAUGAGAGUUUUGUCUGAGUGAGACCAAGUAAGGACUUCAGGACUAGGCCCUUAAGUAUGAUUAUUGUUAUUUAUAAAUGUAUUUCUUUUAUUUUGCCUGAUCUAUCCCUUAGUGGUGAUUUAAACAGAAAAGGCACUUAAUUAAUGUAUCAUUUAAAUUGAUUGGAAGACUUUCCUGCUGGAAGCAAUCCUAUAUUAGCGGGCUGGUGGCCUACAUUGAUUUAACACUGGGAUCCCUAAUGAUGCUUUUGGCAAAAGAACACAAAAGAUCCCAACAAAUAAAACUUAACCUACUCUUGAACCACUUGCAAUAUUUACCACCUGAGUCACCCAGAGAUUGCUGGUUCGUUUUAUCAACAGUUUCUAAUUCACUGGUUCUCCAUGGGACAGGAGGCUCCAUACCAAUGGACAUGGUAGAGAAAAAAUCAUGACUCAUCAUAAUGCCAGAGGAAGCGUAUUCUUGUAUUUUCGGGUGCACAAACAGGACGUUCUCCUCUGCCACUUAUAAUACAUGGUUUCGAUUUUACCUUCAAAUGCGUGGCAAUUUUUCAUUGCACCUGGAUAAUCAGGAAUCUUUGUGCUGUUUUGCUGAGUCACGUUCUCUUCGUAUAGCAGAUGUUAUUUGUUUUAUAGUUCCCUGGCAGUUAGCUUUUCAGGGGGAAGGCACCAUGCUUCUACUGUGUCAGAGCGGGAUAAUUACACAUGAGCAUACCACUGAACAAACAAGAUUCCUGGAGGUGAAUUAUACUAUGAAAACACUGCAGUUAGAUCACCAUAAAAUACAGAGAAUUAUUUUUAACAAUACUUAAAUAGUAGGUGGCAAUACAGAUGCAAAGAAUUCUCUAUCGACAUAUUAUUUGGAUUUACUUACAACAAUCUAAUGCUUAGUGCUUAUUAGCCAUAGAUCUCAAAAUGUGUUAUGAAGAUAACUAAGAAUUAUUGCCCCCCACUGGACAGAUAGAGGAACGAGGGGUAUACUUGAUUUGCCCAAGGUCAAGCAGUAAAUCAGUGCCAGAGCUGGGAAUAAAACACUGAUCUCUUGAUGCUUAAUGCAGAGUUUGCACUAUGGGCCAAUCCUGUAAACACUUAAGCAUGUGUGCCCUUUUAAUCGCAUGAAGUCAAUGGGCAUGCUCCCAAAUAACUAACAUGCUUAACUGUUUGCAGGUUUGGGGUAAAGUAUGUUACAAAGAUUAAUUCUCACAAUGGUCUGUGAAGCAGUUUCCUGAUGGGGAAACCGAGACAGAAGUGCAUUGAAUUGGCGAAAGCCAUUAAAGGGAGCCAGUGUCACAGGCAGCAUGAAGAACUGUGGCAUUCCUAGCUCCUAGUUCAAUGGUCAACCUACUAGACCAUGUCAUUCUCCAGUGGUCCAGGGAAGGUGGGGACGAUUGCUGCAUGAAUAAAUACAAGCAUCUUCGAGUAGAGUGACCAGAUGUCCUGAUUUAUAGGGACAGUCCUGAUUUUGGGGGCUUUUUCUUAUAUAGGCACCUAUUACCCCUCACCCCCGUCCCGAUUUUUCACAAUUACUAUGUGGUCACCCUAUCUUCGAGGCUGUUGUGGCAUUAGACUAUUAUCUGAAAUGCAGCAGUGCCUAAAACCCCAGUUUAGGGAUCAGUACCCCAUUGUGCUAGGUGUCCCCCACCCCCCGGCAAAGAAAGUCCCCGCCCCAAAGAUCUUACUAAUCUAACUAUUAGACAAGAGGCAAGUGGAAAGAAACAGAUGGAUUGGGGAGCACAAAGGAAUGAUGAGACAACAUUGCUCAGCAUGAUAGAUAGUGGUAUCAACACACCAUUGUCAAGUUUUUUGUAGGAAUUAUAUUAAUCCUGCAUAAUAUACAGGGAAUGUCAUAUGUGAAAAUAUAGAUCUUUGCAGCUGCUCCUGCCGCCAUGUUGCACAAAAAGGCUAUAGGCUAGCGGAAGCCAGGAUUGAUUCUUUACUUACUUAUAUAUCCCCCUGAGCAGAUUCAUGCACAGGAGUGAGCAAAUUGUUUGCUUUUGUACUGGCUGAGGUGUGCCUCAGAUACACUAUUGAUUUAAAACAAGUACUGUAGAACCUCGGAGUUAUGAACACCUCAGGACUGGAGGUUGUUUAUAACUCUGAAACGUUUGUAAUUCUGAACAAAACAUUAUGGUGGUUCUUUCAAAAGUGUACAACUGAAGAUUGUCUUCAUAACAGCUUUGAAACUUCCUUAUGCAGAAAAAAAAUGCUGCUUUUAACCAUCUUAAUUUAAAUGAAACAAGCACAGAAAUAGUUUCUUUACCUUGUCAAAAAAAUUUAAAACUUUCCCCUAUUUUUUGG